rnacentral:rRNA from 1 species
UACAGAGGGGGCAAGCGUUAUUCGGAAUUAUUGGGCGUAAAGGGCGCGUAGGCGGCUUUGCAAGUGACGGGUGAAAGCCCUCGGCUUAACCGAGGAACUGCCUGUCAGACUGUAAGGCUUGAGACCGGGAGAGGUGAGUGGAAUUCCCAGUGUAGCGGUGAAAUGCGUAGAUAUUGGGAGGAACACCAGUGGCGAAGGCGGCUCACUGGACCGGAACUGACGCUGAGGCGCGAAAGCGUGGGGAGCAACAGGAUUAAGAUACCCCGGUACGU